GGACGAACGCUGGCGGUGUGCCUCAUACAUGCAAGUCGAACGAUAAGGGUCUCUUCGGAGAUACAUAAGUGGCGACGGGUGAGUACAACAUAGGAAAUCCUGGCCCCCAAAGCGGGGGACAACAGAGGGAAACUUCUGCUAAUACCCCAUAUGAGCUUAGUUGAAAUACUAAUCUUGAAAGAUUUAUCACUUUGGGAUGAGCCUGUGCCUGAUUAGCUGGUUGGUGGUGUAAUGGACUACCAAGGCGACGAUCAGUAGCUGGUUUGAGAGGAUGAUCAGCCACAAUGGGACUGAGACACGGCCCAUACUCCUACGGGAGGCAGCAGUAGGGAAUUUUGCGCAAUGGGGGAAACCCUGACGCAGCAACACCGCGUGAAUGUUAAGCCCUUCGGGGUGUAAAGUUCUGUCAGUAGGGAAGAGCAAAUGACUGUACCUACAAAGGAAGCACCGGCUAACUCCGUGCCAGCCGCCGC
rnacentral:rRNA from 1 species